AACGCUGGCGGCGUGCUUAACACAUGCAAGUCGAACGAGAGUUAGAUCGAAUGAGUUUUCGGACAAGUGAGAUUUAACGAAAGUGGCGAACGGGGUGAGUAACACGUGAGCAACCUGCCUUACACAGGGGAUAGCCAUUGGAAACGGUGAUUAAUACCCAUAAAGACCACAAUGCCGCAUGGGUAAAAGGGGUAAAAAGGGGAUACCGGUGUAAGAUGGGGCUCGCGUCUGAUUAGCUAGUUGGUGGGGUAAAGGCCUACCAAGGCGACGAUCAGUAGCCGGUCUGAGAGGAUGAACGGCCACAUUGGAACUGAGACACGGUCCAAACUCCUACGGGAGGCAGCAGUGGGGAAUAUUGCACAAUGGGGGAAACCCCUGAUGCAGCGACGCCGCGUGAGCGAAGAAGGCUUUCGAGUCGUAAAGCUCUGUCCUAUGAGAAGAUAAUGACGGUAUCAUAGGAGGAAGCCCUGGGCUAAAUACGUGCCAGCAGCCGCGGUAAAU
rnacentral:rRNA from 1 species